rnacentral:rRNA from 1 species
GACGAGCGCUGGCGGCGUGCUUAACACAUGCAAGUCGAACGAAAAUACCAAGCUUGCUUGGUUGAUUAGUGGCGAACGGGUGAGUAACACGUGAGUAACCUGCCCCUUACUUUCCUGGAUAACUGCUCGAAAGGGUAGCUAAUACGGGAUAUUCUGACCAGCCUGCAUGGGUUGGUUUGGAAAGGUUGUUUUUCUGGUAAGGGAUGGGCUCGCGGCCUAUCAGCUUGUUGGUGGGGUGAUGGCCUACCAAGGCUUUGACGGGUAGCCGGCCUGAGAGGGUGGACGGUCACACUGGGACUGACAUACGGCCCAGACUCCUACGGGAGGCAGCAGUGGGGAAUAUUGCACAAUGGGCGCAAGCCUGAUGCAGCGACGCCGCGUGAGGGAUGAAGGCCUUCGGGUUGUAAACCUCUUUCGUCAGGGAACAAGGCACUGCUUUUUUGGUGGUGUUGAGGGUACCUGGAUAAGAAGCGCCGGCUAACUACGUG